CUUCAGGGAGCCGAGCCAGAGCGGGGUCUCCUCGGUGUGCUCCCGCCCGUACGUCGCCAGCAGCGCCUGCGCCUC
rfam:Streptomyces pactum strain KLBMP 5084, complete genome.